rnacentral:lncRNA from 1 species
AUCGUUUUAGCAGUUGGAUAUUACAAUUAUCCCAUCGCACCUUAACUAAUACAAAACAUGCACCUCGCGUAGGCGAAACCUACAUUAUUCGAUAUCAGUCUUGAUGAGUGCUAAAACUUGGAAAGCAAACAUAUAUAAUAUUCUCAUAAUUUGUUUAGUUAAGUUUGACCCAUUGUUUUAACAGUUGGAUAUUACAAUUAUCCCAUCGCACCUUACUAAUAUAUAGAUCAUGCACCUCGCGUAGG